ensembl:lncRNA
UACAAAUAGUAACUCCAGUGUUUUCCUUCUAAAUAUAACUGACAUAGCACAGUAAAAAUACUUUAGUUAAUAGAUAGAAAAUAGUCCUUAUCAUAAAAGUUAUAGCAAUACCAGAGUGGACACUAGAUGGGUUGUGUCAUCCAUGGACAUGUGACCAGAGCCUGUAUUCACAGAGAGUCCCAGAGUAAUAAGAGUGCUGAUCUAGGAUCAGUUUUGUCUUUGACCUCUCUCUGGUAAUGUUCUUUAUUAUAUAUUUUUUUACUUAGCUUACCCAGUACAAUGGAACCAAUGGGAUAGUCCCAAAAGUGCAAACUCUGCCCAACUAGCGACACAACAGUCCUGUUGGAUAAAAUAUUCACAUUUAGAACAUCUGUGCAGUAUUCUGGGACAUGAACUCUCAGUUGACUGUGAACUUUAGUUACACAUAGUGUCUGUUUCCAACCACUCACACACUUUCUGGAUAAGCCCACGUUAACCACCUUACCGUAUAUCUGAACCUAUUGUCCUGUGGUAUAUUAGUUCAGAGUUGUUUGUCUAAAUUAGAUAUUACAUCCUGCGUAGGCUACUGACCCACAUGGACACUUUACUCUAAUAUUACACCCAGUGUAGGCUACUGACCCACAAGGACACUUUACUCUAAUAUUACACCCAGUGUAGGCUACUGACCCACACGGACACUUUACUCUAAUAUUACACCCAGUGUAGGCUACUGACCCACAAGGACACUUUACUCCAAUAUUACACCCAGUGUAGGAUACUGACCCACAAGGACACUUUACUCUAAUAUUACACCCAGUGUAGGCUACUGACCCAAACGGACACUUUACUCCAAUAUUACACCCAGUGUAGGCUACUGACCCAAACGGACACUUUACUCUAAUAUUACACCCAGUGUAGGAUACUGACCCACAAGGACACUUUACUCUAAUAUUACACCCAGUGUAGGAUACUGACCCAAACGGACACUUUACUCUAAUAUUACACCCAGUGUAGGAUACUGACCCACAAGGACACUUUACUCCAAUAUUACAUUUUGUUACGUUCCAACACACCAAUAUAAAAAUGUAUGCUUUUUUUUCAACUCUAAUAGACUGG